GCCUCUGUAGCGCAAUGGGUUAGCGCGUUCGGCUAUUAACUAAAAGGCUGGUCGUUCGAUCCCACCCAGGGGCG